UUCGGAGCUGUGAGGCGACUGCG
rnacentral:piRNA from 1 species